AGUGAACGCUGGCGGCGUGCUUAACACAUGCAAGUCGAACGCGAAAGGGUAGCAAUACCCCGGUAGAGUGGCGAACGGGUGAGUAAAAUGUGAGUAAUCUGCCUUUGAGAGGGGGAGUAACCUGGCGAAAGCCGGGCUAAUACCCACUGAAGUUUGGUUGUUUUCGGUACGAUUAGACGAAAGGAUGGCCUCUAUUUAUAAGCUAUCGCUUGAAGAGGAGCUCACAUCCUAUCACGCUUGUUGGUGAGGUAAAGGCUCACCAAGGCGACGACGGGUAGCCGGCCUGAGAGGGUGUCCGGCCACACUGGAACUGAGAUACGGUCCAGACUCCUACGGGAGGCAGCAGUGGGGAAUUUUUCGCAAUGGGCGCAAGCCUGACGAAGCAACGCCGCGUGGAGGAUGAAGGCCCCUAGCGGUUGUAAACUCCUGUCUAGCGGGACGAAGGUAUGGCAGUCGAAUAGACUGCGAUAUUGACUGUACCGCUGGAGG
rnacentral:rRNA from 1 species